rnacentral:lncRNA from 1 species
UACAAGUUAACACUAAAUAUUCCCCUUAAGGACAUAACAAUAAACAAGUUUCAAUUUUUAUCCAUGGGCUUAAUACCUUCAUGACAUAGUAUUACUUUGACGCAAGCCACAUGAUCUGGCCCACGGAACCACAACCCCCAAAUUUUGAGGAGAAACUUACAAAGUGCCUUGCACUGACACUUUCUUGCAGUAUGGCUCCUCAUUACUUGCUUAGCCUUCAAACAAGCUCUUUUUUGUUGACACUUUCUUACAGUACGGCUCCUCAUUACUUGCUUAGCCUUCAAACAAGCUCUUUUUCGUUGAGGUGUGGUCUGCCUCACUAUUGAGCCAAGAUGUUGUUAUGUGAUUUGCAUCCUCCUACAACAGCUUGACUCUUGACUUGAAUUUGACACAUACCCAUACUUGGCUGACACAAAUUUCAUCACCUUUAUUCCUCCUCAAUUCUUGUCUCUUGCACUCUUCAUGUGAGUAAUGCAGAUUGCCCAUAGUUUUACCAGCCUCUCAAGGUCCACCAGCUCAAGUCUCCUACUCGGACUUCACAACUUUGUUAUUAAUCAUCACAUCAUGUAAAUUCACCGACAUAUCAUGAGCCAAGAAAGUCUCUCUACCUAUUUGACCAACCCCAUUACCAC